rnacentral:rRNA from 1 species
UACAGAGGUCUCAAGCGUUGUUCGGAGUUACUGGGCGUAAAGGGUGUGUAGGCGGCCCCCUAAGUUUGGUGUGAAAUCUCCCGGCUCAACCGGGAGGGUGCGCCGAAGACUGGAGGGCUAGAGUGCGGGAUGGGAGAGUGGAAUUCCUGGUGUAGCGGUGAAAUGCGUAGAUAUCAGGAUGAACACCUGUGGUGUAGGCGGCUCUCUGGACCGCAACUGACGCUGAAACACGAAAGCGUGGGUAGCAAACAGG